UUGAACGCUGGCGGCAGGCCUAACACAUGCAAGUCGAGCGGUAGCACAGAGAGCUUGCUCUCGGGUGACGAGCGGCGGACGGGUGAGUAAUGUCUGGGAAACUGCCUGAUGGAGGGGGAUAACUACUGGAAACGGUAGCUAAUACCGCAUAAUGUCGCAAGACCAAAGUGGGGGACCUUCGGGCCUCAUGCCAUCAGAUGUGCCCAGAUGGGAUUAGCUAGUAGGUGGGGUAACGGCUCACCUAGGCGACGAUCCCUAGCUGGUCUGAGAGGAUGACCAGCCACACUGGAACUGAGACACGGUCCAGACUCCUACGGGAGGCAGCAGUGGGGAAUAUUGCACAAUGGGCGCAAGCCUGAUGCAGCCAUGCCGCGUGUGUGAAGAAGGCCUUCGGGUUGUAAAGCACUUUCAGCGGGGAGGAAGGCGUUAAGGUUAAUAACCUUGGCGAUUGACGUUACCCGCAGAAGAAGCACCGGCUAACUCCGUGCCAGCAGCCGCGGUAAUACGGAGGGUGCAAGCGUUAAUCGGAAUUACUGGGCGUAAAGCGCACGCAGGCGGUCUGUCAAGUCGGAUGUGAAAUCCCCGGGCUCAACCUGGGAACUGCAUUCGAAACUGGCAGGCUAGAGUCUUGUAUGGGGGGGUAGAAUUCCAGGUGUAGCGGUGAAAUGCGUAGAGAUCUGGAGGAAUACCGGUGGCGAAGGCGGCCCCCUGGACAAAGACUGACGCUCAGGUGCGAAAGCGUGGGGAGCAAACAGGAUUAGAUACCCUGGUAGUCCACGCCGUAAACGAUGUCGAUUUGGAGGUUGUGCCCUUGAGGCGUGGCUUCCGGAGCUAACGCGUUAAAUCGACCGCCUGGGGAGUACGGCCGCAAGGUUAAAACUCAAAUGAAUUGACGGGGGCCCGCACAAGCGGUGGAGCAUGUGGUUUAAUUCGAUGCAACGCGAAGAACCUUACCUGGUCUUGACAUCCACAGAACUUUCCAGAGAUGGAUUGGUGCCUUCGGGAACUGUGAGACAGGUGCUGCAUGGCUGUCGUCAGCUCGUGUUGUGAAAUGUUGGGUUAAGUCCCGCAACGAGCGCAACCCUUAUCCUUUGUUGCCAGCGGUUAGGCCGGGAACUCAAAGGAGACUGCCAGUGAUAAACUGGAGGAAGGUGGGGAUGACGUCAAGUCAUCAUGGCCCUUACGACCAGGGCUACACACGUGCUACAAUGGCAUAUACAAAGAGAAGCGACCUCGCGAGAGCAAGCGGACCUCAUAAAGUAUGUCGUAGUCCGGAUUGGAGUCUGCAACUCGACUCCAUGAAGUCGGAAUCGCUAGUAAUCGUAGAUCAGAAUGCUACGGUGAAUACGUUCCCGGGCCUUGUACACACCGCCCGUCACACCAUGGGAGUGGGUUGCAAAAGAAGUAGGUAGCUUAACCUUCGGGAGGGCGCUUACCACUUUGUGAUUCAUGACUGGGGUG
rnacentral:rRNA from 1 species